GACAGAGGGGGCAAGCGUUGCUCGGAAUUACUGGGCGUAAAGGGCGCGUAGGCGGGAUGGCAAGUCGGUCGUGAAAUCCUUCGGCUCAACCGAAGAACGUCGAUCGAUACUGCUGUUCUAGAGGGUUGCAGAGGAGACUGGAAUUCCCGGUGUAGUGGUCAAAUGCGUAGAGAUCGGGAGGAACACCUGUGGCGAAGGCGGCCCCCUGGGCCGGCCCUGACACUGAGACGCGAAGGCGUGGGGAGCGAACGGG
rnacentral:rRNA from 1 species